rnacentral:rRNA from 1 species
GACGAACGCUGGCGGCGUGCUUAACACAUGCAAGUCGAACGGAAAGGCCCUGCUUUUGUGGGGUGCUCGAGUGGCGAACGGGUGAGUAACACGUGAGUAACCUGCCCUUGACUUUGGGAUAACUUCAGGAAACUGGGGCUAAUACCGGAUAGGAGCUCCUGCUGCAUGGUGGGGGUUGGAAAGUUUCGGCGGUUGGGGAUGGACUCGCGGCUUAUCAGCUUGUUGGUGGGGUAGUGGCUUACCAAGGCUUUGACGGGUAGCCGGCCUGAGAGGGUGACCGGCCACAUUGGGACUGAGAUACGGCCCAGACUCCUACGGGAGGCAGCAGUGGGGAAUAUUGCACAACGGGCGGAAGCCUGAUGCAGCAACGCCGCGUGCGGGAUGACGGCCUUCGGGUUGUAAACCGCUUUCGCCUGUGACGAAGCGUGAGUGACGGUAAUGGGUAAAGAAGCACCGGCUAACUACGUGCCAGCAGCCGCGGUGAUACGUAGGGUGCGAGCGUUGUCCGGAUUUAUUGGGCGUAAAGGGCUCGUAGGUGGUUGAUCGCGUCGGAAGUGUAAUCUUGGGGCUUAACCCUGAGCGUGCUUUCGAUACGGGUUGACUUGAGGAAGGUAGGGGAGAAUGGAAUUCCUGGUGGAGCGGUGGAAUGCGCAGAUAUCAGGAGGAACACCAGUGGCGAAGGCGGUUCUCUGGGCCUUUCCUGACGCUGAGGAGCGAAAGCGUGGGGAGCGAACAGGCUUAGAUACCCUGGUAGUCCACGCUGUAAACGGUGGGUACUAGGUGUGGGGUCCAUUCCACGGGUUCCGUGCCGUAGCUAACGCUUUAAGUACCCCGCCUGGGGAGUACGGCCGCAAGGCUAAAACUCAAAGGAAUUGACGGGGCCCCGCACAAGCGGCGGAGCAUGCGGAUUAAUUCGAUGCAACGCGUAGAACCUUACCUGGGUUUGACAUGGAUCGGGAGUGCUCAGAGAUGGGUGUGCCUCUUUUGGGGUCGGUUCACAGGUGGUGCAUGGCUGUCGUCAGCUCGUGUCGUGAGAUGUUGGGUUAAGUCCCGCAACGAGCGCAACCCUUGUUCACUGUUGCCAGCACGUUAUGGUGGGGACUCAGUGGAGACCGCCGGGGUCAACUCGGAGGAAGGUGGGGAUGACGUCAAGUCAUCAUGCCCCUUAUGUCCAGGGCUUCACGCAUGCUACAAUGGCUGGUACAGAGAGUGGCGAGCCUGUGAGGGUGAGCGAAUCUCGGAAAGCCGGUCUCAGUUCGGAUUGGGGUCUGCAACUCGACCUCAUGAAGUCGGAGUCGCUAGUAGUCGCAGAUCAGCAACGCUGCGGUGAAUACGUUCCCGGG